rnacentral:tRNA from 1 species
CAGUGGGUAUUUUAAUUAAAAUAUUGGUUUUGGGGACUAAUGAUGGGAUUUUCUCUUCGCUGA